rnacentral:rRNA from 1 species
AGAGUUUGAUCCUGGCUCAGGUUGAACGCUGGCGGCAGGCCUAACACAUGCAAGUCGAGCGGUAGCACAGAGAGCUUGCUCUCGGGUGACGAGCGGCGGACGGGUGAGUAAUGUCUGGGAAACUGCCUGAUGGAGGGGGAUAACUACUGGAAACGGUAGCUAAUACCGCAUAACGUCGCAAGACCAAAGUGGGGGACCUUCGGGCCUCAUGCCAUCAGAUGUGCCCAGAUGGGAUUAGCUAGUAGGUGGGGUAACGGCUCACCUAGGCGACGAUCCCUAGCUGGUCUGAGAGGAUGACCAGCCACACUGGAACUGAGACACGGUCCAGACUCCUACGGGAGGCAGCAGUGGGGAAUAUUGCACAAUGGGCGCAAGCCUGAUGCAGCCAUGCCGCGUGUGUGAAGAAGGCCUUCGGGUUGUAAAGCACUUUCAGCGGGGAGGAAGGCGUUAAGGUUAAUAACCUCAUCGAUUGACGUUACCCGCAGAAGAAGCACCGGCUAACUCCGUGCCAGCAGCCGCGGUAAUACGGAGGGUGCAAGCGUUAAUCGGAAUUACUGGGCGUAAAGCGCACGCAGGCGGUCUGUCAAGUCGGAUGUGAAAUCCCCGGGCUCAACCUGGAACUGCAUUCGAAACUGGCAGGCUAGAGUCUUGUAGAGGGGGGUAGAAUUCCAGGUGUAGCGGUGAAAUGCGUAGAGAUCUGGAGGAAUACCGGUGGCGAAAGGCGGCCCCCUGGACAAAGACUGACGCUCAGUGCGAAAGCGUGGGGAGCAAACAGGAUUAGAUACCCUGGUAGUCCACGCCGUAAACGAUGUCGAUUUGGAGGUUGUGCCCUUGAGGCGUGGCUUCCGGAGCUAACGCGUUAAAUCGACCGCCUGGGGAGUACGGCCGCAAGGUUAAAACUCAAAUGAAUUGACGGGGGCCCGCACAAGCGGUGGAGCAUGUGGUUUAAUUCGAUGCAACGCGAAGAACCUUACCUGGUCUUGACAUCCACAGAACUUUCCAGAGAUGGAUUGGUGCCUUCGGGAACUGUGAGACAGGUGCUGCAUGGCUGUCGUCAGCUCGUGUUGUGAAAUGUUGGGUUAAGUCCCGCAACGAGCGCAACCCUUAUCCUUUGUUGCCAGCGGUUCGGCCGGGAACUCAAAGGAGACUGCCAGUGAUAAACUGGAGGAAGGUGGGGAUGACGUCAAGUCAUCAUGGCCCUUACGACCAGGGCUACACACGUGCUACAAUGGCAUAUACAAAGAGAAGCGACCUCGCGAGAGCAAGCGGACCUCAUAAAGUAUGUCGUAGUCCGGAUUGGAGUCUGCAACUCGACUCCAUGAAGUCGGAAUCGCUAGUAAUCGUAGAUCAGAACGCUACGGUGAAUACGUUCCCGGGCCUUGCACACACCGCCCGUC